CAGGUACAGAGGGAUGCUACCGGGCGACCGGAUGCGGAUCUCGAAAGCCUGUCCCAGUUCGGACUGGAGUCUGCAACCCGACUCCACGAAGUUGGAUUCGCUAGUAAUCGCGCAUCAGCCAUGGCGCGGUGAAUACGUUCCCGGGCCUUGUACACACCGCCCGUCAAGCCAUGGGAGCCGGGGGCGCCUGAAGUUCGUGACCGCAAGGAGCGACCUAGGGCAAAACUGGUGACUGGGGCUAAGUCGUAACAAGGUAUC
rnacentral:rRNA from 1 species